rnacentral:rRNA from 1 species
AGAACGAACGCUGGCGGCAUGCCUAAUACAUGCAAGUCGAACGAACACUUCGGUGUUAGUGGCGCACGGGUGCGUAACGCGUGGGAAUCUGCCCUUGGGUUCGGAAUAACAGUUGGAAACGACUGCUAAUACCGGAUGAUAUCGAAAGAUCAAAGAUUUAUCGCCCAGGGAUGAGCCCGCGUAGGAUUAGCUAGUUGGUGAGGUAAAGGCUCACCAAGGCGACGAUCCUUAGCUGGUCUGAGAGGAUGAUCAGCCACACUGGGACUGACGACACCGGCCCAGACCUCCGUACGGGAGGCAGCAGGUAGGGUAAUAGUUGGACAAGUGGGACGCAACGCCUGAUCCAGACAAUCGCCGCGUGAGUGAGU